rnacentral:tRNA from 1 species
GCGGAAGUAGUUCAGUGGUAGAACAUCACCUUGCCAAGGUGGGGGUCGCGGGUUCGAACCCCGUCUUCCGCUCUA